CUAACACCCCUGAGCAUUGCUUUGCUCAGUUUUUAUGUGACCAGUUUUUGAUGAGUUGUGUAAUCUGUAAUUAUUCUGUUAAUUUCCAGUUUGACCCAUUCAGGACGAUUUGUGGAUGGUUGCAUACAACUCAUUGAUAGUCUCUAGGAGGCCCCUUGUCAUGUGACUUCGCCUGUACAUUGAGCUUAAGGAAUGCUUUCAAUAUUACACUGGCUGGACCCUGAAUCUUGGUGGAUGUCUCUCAACCCAUGAUCUGAUAUAGAACUGGCUUCCUUUACCUCUGAUGUGCAGGUUGGUGGAAAUGUGGUAGAAGUUAUUGGCUGGUGGUGACCUAAAGGCCCAAGGUUCAAACCCCAGGAAUGCCAAUGUGACCUUGAUCAAGACACUAAACCUCCGGCUGCUCCUAGGGGAACUUUUCCGGGGUGAAAAGCACAGCUAGCAUCAGCACUAGAGAAGGUUCACGGAGGGUCUCCAUCACGGCCGUUCGUUGCGCCCCGGUGGACAGAUGUGUUCGGGGAGAGGGGGACGGAUGAGGAAUGGUCUUGGCUUGUCACCAGGGCAAUGUGUAAGGCUGGCCGGCCAGUCGGCUCGCAGCUUGCGCCUGCAUUCCCCUUCGCUUAAUUAGGGGUUGUUGGUACCACAGAAGGUGUCACCAACCUUUUCAGUCCAAUAACAGAUGGUGUUUUUUUUUUUUUUUUUUUUUUGAGGUCCUGCCAAAGCCCACUGUCCCACUCCUGGGAAAAUGACCUAACUUGCAGGCAGCUGCUUAGUGCGGCUUGAGUGCCUCUUAAAAGAGACUUCUAUCAGGGAAUUAACGGGACAUACCACUGCAGCACGAGGGGUGUGAGUUUGAGAUGAGUCCAUCUUUAAUCGGCCUCUUUAAGCCGGUCUGAGGGCCGAGCUCGUCGUUUGCAUUGAAAUCCAAAGUGACACUAUGGACGAGGUAGGAGGAGGGCUGACACCCUGACUGUUUUACGUGGCUCAGAAGGCUCGCCGAUCCCCCCUCCCAAAGCAGAUGGUGUGUAUAACAACACAGAAUGUGGUCCGGGGGAGGUCAGGGAGGGACAAAAAGUGAAAGGGUCCCCAGACAGUUGGGGAAAGAAAAGGCCUGCGGAGCGUGAGGGAGGAGCCAGGGGAGGAGAGAGAGAGAGAAGAAAAGGGGAGAGAAAAGAGAAGUUUUUCAAAGCACUGGUCAGUGAGAGGCUAAAAGAGGAGGCAGAGAGCGUCGGGCUGCAGAUGCGAUACGUGGGAAGGCAGGGGGUCGAAGCUUUACAAGCUGCAUGCUGGGUACACACAGCACUACUGCUGUCAGUCACCAACUCACUUGGCUUCACUGUCUCUUACUCUCUCGCUCUCUGUCUCUCUGUCUUCCUGUACAUUGAUUCCAUUUCCCCUUACAAUUAGACUUACCUUAAUGAGCACUAUUUAUGUUUGGAUUAGUCCCAAAAAGUGAAAUCAUAUAUAUGGGGUAAAAAUUAAGAUCAAUAUAUGUUAU